rnacentral:rRNA from 1 species
AUUGUGUAGCGGUGAAAUGCGUAGAUAUAUGGAGGAACACCGGUGGCGAAAGCGGCUCUCUGGUCUGUCACUGACGCUGAGGCUCGAAAGCGUGGGUAGCGAACAGGAUUAGAUACCCUGGUAGUCCACGCCGUAAACGCUGAGUGCUAGGUGUUAGGUCCUUUCCGGGACUUAGUGCCGACGCUAACGCAUUAAGCACUCCGCCUGGGGAGUACGACCGCAAGGUUGAAACUCAAAGGAAUUGACGGGGGCCCGCACAAGCGGUGGAGCAUGUGGUUUAAUUCGAAGCAACGCGAAGAACCUUACCAGGUCUUGACAUCCCGAUGCCCGCUCUAGAGAUAGAGUUUUUCUUCGGAACAUCGGAGACAGGUGGUGCAUGGUUGUCGUCAGCUCGUGUCGUGAGAUGUUGGGUUAAAGUCCCGCAACGAGCGCAACCCUUAUUGUUAGUUGCCAUCAUUAAGUUGGGCACUCUAGCGAGACUGCCGGUAAUAAACCGGAGGAAGGUGGGGAUGACGUCAAAUCAUCAUGCCCCUUAUGACCUGGGCUACACACGUGCUACAAAAUGGUUGGUACAACGAGUCGCAAGCCGGUGACGGCAAGCUAAUCUCUGAAAGCCAAUCUCAGUUCGGAUUGUAGGCUGCAACUCGCCUACAUGAAGUCGGAAUCGCUAGUAAUCGCGGAUCAGCACGCCGCGGUGAAUACGUUCCCGGGCCUUGUACACACCGCCCGUCACACCACGAGAGUUUGUAACACCCAAAGUCGGUGAGGUAACCAUUUAUGGGGCCAGCCGCCUAAGGUGGGAUGGAUGAUUGGGGUGAAGUCGUAACAAGGUAGCCGUAUCGGAAGGUGCGGCUGGAUCACCUCCUUUCUAAGGA